rnacentral:rRNA from 1 species
UACAGAGGGUGCAAGCGUUGUUCGGAAUUAUUGGGCGUAAAGCGCGUGUAGGCGGCCUUGCAAGUCGGGUGUGAAAUCCCUCAGCUUAACUGAGGAAGUGCGCCCGAAACUGCAGAGCUUGAAUACCAGAGAGGAUGGCGGAAUUCCCAAGUAGAGGUGAAAUUCGUAGAGAUGGGGAGGAACACCGGUGGCGAAGGCGGCCAUCUGGCUGGAUAUUGACGCUGAGACGCGAAAGCGUGGGUAGCAAACAGG